GUAGCGGGACAUUGAGAUCAGUAAGAAGAUCAAUUGAUUAACGGGGAUCAAAAGUACACUUUCAAAAAACUAAAGGAAACUCAUAUCAUAUCAAGUAAAGAAACCCAAUUUACAGCUUACAGACAAAAACCAAUCCCUAUACCUCUCCCUAACAUCACCAUACUCCAUCUCAUGCUCCCUACCUCUAGUCCCCCCAGUUCCUCCCCCUCUCGACGUCCCGCCGGAAACUCUGUCUCUCUGCCUCUCCCUCUCCCUCUCCCUCCACCGAAACCCAUCCUCCCUCCUCUACUCCUCACAGAAACUGAAAGUUAAAAAAACAUUGUUUACCAAACUAAAGGGAAUAACCUAACCUGACCAACAAAAUCACAGUAACCUUGACUACAACCUACAAAACCAGAAAAAUACCCAUUGCAUCAACCCAACAUUCAAAUACUGUGAUUUUGAAAUACCCAAAACCCAACCUACAAAACCAUUUAAAUACCCAGAAAUAAAACCCGUCAAGCAUACCUGAUUUGAGACCCACCCAAUAUAAACCAAAUUUCAUCCCGAAACUGAUAUUUAGAAUGCCAAACCGUAGGGAUUUCCUGCAGAUCAACAUCCUUAUUGUCAAACCUUAACCGGUAAACCUAGAUAGAUACAAUGAAGAAGAAGAACAAAGAACCAAAAUCGAACUAACAGUGACCGAUAAAAAAACAAAGAGUUGACAGUAAAUUCAGUUUCAAAAUCCAAGCAUAGAAUAAUUAACAAAGAAGAAGAAAGAAGAUCGGGAGGCUUGAGAAAGAAGAACGGGAGGCUUGAAUAAUUACAAAAUUGAACUAACAUUAACGAAUUUCAUCUUCGAUCGAUCAGUCUAUUCUUUGAUCUUCGAUCGAUCAGUCAACUCUAGUCUCUCCCUCUAUAUGCUUCUGUUUGGGGAAAAAGAAAAAAGGAGUCCAGAUCCUUCCAGAGGUGUGUGGAGCAAGAGAAAGGGCAAAACCGAUGAAGGAAGUGACGAAAGAGAGGGAAGGAGAGCUUGAGAUUUGGAAAAUGAUUCGGUGGGGUUUUGAGAGAGAUCAAGAGAGAGCAAGAAAAAGAAUUAGAAAACGGCAAGAUGCAGGACCAUAACUUCAUAUGAAAAGCAGAAUAAAAACAAAUCUCAGAUAAAAAACUAAAUGGGAGCAAAUUCAUUCACACAAAACUCAUUAACCAUCAAGACAUAGCAAAUUCCAUUUUUCAAGCCUAUAGACUCGAUGGUGAUAAGAAAGGCAGAGACAUUGAAAUGUGAAUGAAUUUGGCUAGAAAACAUAUCUUGUUUGCAUAUACAGGAUGUAAAUUGUUAUUGGCCAUUUACAGCAAUCAAAUCUGCAACUAAAUAUUUUUGCUCAGAACUGUCAUCAUUAACAUUCAAUGGGUACAUUUUUUGAUUUUCAAUCAAUUUUAGAUGCAUUGCAUGCAUUUUAUCUCU
rnacentral:lncRNA from 1 species